CCAGACUCCUACGGGAGGCAGCAGUGGGGAAUAUUGCACAAUGGGGGGAACCCUGAUGCAGCGACGCCGCGUGGGUGAAGGAGUACUUCGGUACGUAAAGCCCUAUCAGCAGGAAAGAAAAUGACGGUACCUGACUAAGAAGCCCCGGCUAACUACGUGCCAGCAGCCGCGGUAAUACGUAGGGGGCAAGCGUUAUCCGGAUUUACUGGGUGUAAAGGGGGCGCAGACGGCGAUGCAAGCCAGGAGUGAAAGCCCGGGGCCCAACCCCGGGACUGCUCUUGGAACUGCGUGGCUGGAGUGUAGGAGGGGCAGGCGGAAUUCCUGGUGUAGCGGUGAAAUGCGUAGAUAUUAGGAGGAACACCAGUGGCGAAGGCGGCCUGCUGGGCUUUUACUGACGCUGAGGCUCGAAAGUGUGGGGAGCAAACAGGAUUAGAUACCCCGGUAUCA
rnacentral:rRNA from 1 species